ACGGGUUGAAAAGGUUUCUUUUCGGCUGAUUUUUAAUGGGAUCAAUUAGGAGAUUUGUUACUAAAUGAAAUUAAACCAAUACUAUGAUGCAUUCCGCAAAACAACCAAUUUAUUAUGAAAUUUUGAAACAAGCAUGCGUUUUCGAUGCCCUCACCUUGUCAAAGGAGACCUUCUCGACUCAGCGAUGUGUCAAACUGAUGGAAUACGUUUCGGAACGUGGAAUCCGCUCCGACCAAGAUUUAUAUUUACGUGAAAUAUCGGAAUAUUUUGAGGCAAUCAUUCAUUUGAAAUAGGAAAAUUUCAUAAUUUACGCUUCCGGUGGAUUCAUAUGUGAAAAACACGAGCUGGGAAGUGGAACCGGGGCGAAAAUGGGGGAAAGAAAACACAAACGAAAACCAGAGCAGCACCCACUGUGCUACACAUGUGUGACUGUCACACGCGUCAUUACCACAUUCAACCCAGCCCUGACGUUUAAAUUGUUUACCCGCCUAUUUGGUGCUGUGUCCUGCAUUUCGGCAAACACGAAUAGAUGCGUUUGGAAUUUCAUAAUGCUGAUGCGUCACCUGGUUAGGGAAAUAGAUUGCCCUACGAAUGCUGGAGUUAGGAACUAAAAAUGUCGUGAAGCGCAGGACUUACCUGUACUGCUUUCGAAACGAACCAUUCGGAAAGGAGUUCGGAUGAAUGAAACAUUGCCUUUGCUUUGCUGCAAACCUUUCCCUUAUACAUCAGUAAUCGUCCGGCUUGGAACGGGUUUUUAUUACAUCGUUUUUUUCUGUUUUGUUUUUGAUUAAUAAGAUACGAGACGGUGGCACAUGGCAGGCUCCGUACAGCUAGGUAUUGUAUUGAUGAUAGUUUUAUUCGUUCGGGCACUCGAGCCCAGCGCUGCUUCAUACUGCUCUGUCUCUAAUGUUCUUUCCCGCUGUGAAGUGCGAAUCUAUUUAAAAUACAUUUUACACAUAUACUUCCCCAACAUUCAUACACACGGACACACAUACACUCCUUCGGUAUAUUUACGGGGCCAGUUUCGGGAACCGUUCCUACCGUCAACAAGCCAAUUAAAAUUUGUUCCAUUCACAGACUUAGAGCCUACCUUUAAUUGCCUCAAUCCUUGGCCGGGAAGGAACCAUUUUCCUGUCGGACGUGCAUGCCAUGUUUUUGGCGGCUUGGCAGCCAUUUUUGGAGUGCGUCGAGCUACUGGCGACGUUAACGGUUAACAUAAACCACAUAUUGGCCGGUUUUCUCCCUCACCUCUGUAUUAUACGGUUCCCGCUCUAGUAGCUUUCGGUUAUUUAUAGGUAAACGUGUUAUAAUCAUCAUCAUCACAGCUAUUCGUGUGUAUUCGAGAAAGGCAAUUUAAAACUGCAGAAAACACGGACACGGACACGGUACACAAAACACCACAGUUACAAAACACCCACCGUAACGUUAACUCCCCCCGACCUAACCGACCGGCUGCAAUCGAUGGUGGACGAUUUUUUUUAUUGUUGGAAAACAGAAGAAACUUCGCAGAGGGACGCCAACGUUCAAGGAACAAGUUGCAUUUUUCAUUUCUCGAACAUCGAUAAGGACACAGACAAGACAUCUUGUCUUCCAAAAGAGAGCAAGGGAACGAAGGGUUGUUGGGAAAAUAAAACCAUUAAAAGGGUAUCUGUUCGAUUCCGCGGUUCACAACGAAUGACUUUGACUGUUUGCAUACAUGUUAGUCAUCGGCGGAACGGAACGGCUGCGAAGGAACGGCUCAAGGGCAACCAAAGGGAGGCAGCGUUAUUUGUCCACCAUCGUGCCACUUUAGACCGUGUGUAUAAGCGUGUGAGCGGGUGUGCGCGCACACCCUGCAUUAUUGAGCUGCACAGUUGCAGUUUCCCACCUACGCAGUACGCUACGUCGUCUCAACAUAAGUUCAUUUCUAUUGUUCCCUUGGAGUCGUAUUGGUUUUCCAUUCUGCCGUACGGCGUGUACUGGUUCUAUUUGUCCAGUUUUCACUCUUUUUGCAGGGCCACUAUAUUGUAUUAGAAUCGUUUGCUUCCCCACCUCUUUUGGGUAUGUAUAGGAGAAGAGGAUCAGUCGUGCUUUUGUGUUCUUCUUGUGCUCUGUUUCUUCGCUCCGUUCCGAUAGUGUUUGAUAUUUAAGUUUCAGUUGUGGCGGGGUUUGUCCUGCAUCACAAUCAAUAUACGUCAAUACGUCAAUAUCUGUAAGGUUUUCAGUUGAACAAUCACACCGGUUAUGUUUUAGCUUUAGCUCUACAAACACAGGAAUACAUCGGACUCGGCCGCGCUCUAGGUAUAUACUUCCAUCUAUAUCUAUAUAAUAUGUAUGGGUGUAUACAUUAUAUAGUUGUAUAGUGUAUAUAGUAGGUAUAUGUACAAAAAACCAACGGCUUUAUGUUGCAACAGUUCUGUGUGGCUGUGUGUAUAUAUAUACCCUUUAAAAUAGUUAGCUAUGCUCGGCUGGCCUUUUUAAUUAUUUCGCGAUCAUUGUGCCUAUCAUUGUCACGGCUAGCUACUCACGUGCUCCUAAGUAUAUUUUGCGGUUUGGUUGGUCUACUAGUCAAUUGCUACGUUCCAGCUUUUCAGUGCGUGCAAGUCUUUGGUUUUUCUUGGGGUUAUCGUGUACAUUUACUUUUCCAGAAAUUAUUGUUAUCUGUUUUACACUUUCAACCCGGUAUGCAGUACCGCACGAACACCUCAGCGUUGAUAUUAGAAGGGGUAGAAUUUAUUGUAUACAUGGGUCUUUCCAUAUGUUUAACUCAUUUAUUCCCACCGAGCAUAUAGUUCAACCUGUACGCCUUUAAACGUUUCAAUUACAAUUACAUCAAAUUGUUAGGGCAUGUUUUAAGAGAUUUGCUCACAGUUAGUAGGGGGUGAGUUACACACAUCACACCGCCCGAUACGCUUCAAUUGGUUACGGCCAGUCACAUUUAAACAUCAAAUCUACGGUGGCGGGCAUUUAUUAGUAGUAGUAGCAUUAGUAAUAGUAGAAGUAACAGUAGUAGUAGUAGUAGUUUAAGUAGUAGCUGUAUUGGUACACUGCGUCCAGUUUCUUUGUGGCCGCUUAAUGCAACAGAAAGCAGGAUGGUGAUGGCUGUGCUAUUAAUAUUAAAUUAAAUUUCCAUGUCCUGUUUCGUUGUAGUGUUUUAAAAAUGUUUACCACAAGCAUUAUUUGAAGUAUGUAAUAACGAAUAAAUAUUGUAACAUUUUGAAAUCAACGUUGGCGUUUUGAACUUAAUGAAUAAAAAAUAAUAAUUACCGAGCAAGUUA